UACAGGGGGGGCAAGCGUUGUUCGGAAUUACUGGGCGUAAAGGGCUCGUAGGUGGCCAACUAAGUCAGACGUGAAAUCCCUCAGCUUAACUGGGGAACUGCGUCUGAUACUGGAUGGCUUGAGUUUGGGAGAGGGAUGCGGAAUUCCAGGUGUAGCGGUGAAAUGCGUAGAUAUCCGGAGGAACACCGGUGGCGAAGGCGGCUUCCUGGACCGACACUGACGCUGAGGCGCGAAAGCUAGGGGAGCAAACGGG
rnacentral:rRNA from 1 species